UCGGAUAUGGUGUAACGGCUAACAUUGCCGCCUCUCAUCUCUUGACUGUCGCGGCAGCUCGGGGUUCGAUUCCCCGUAUCCGAA
rnacentral:tRNA from 1 species